GAUAAAGUGGACAGAAUUCAUGGUUACUACUGGCCUAGGGGCUGUCUGGGCAGGGUGUGCUGAGGCCCAGAUCCUUACUUAGCAAGCAUAACUGUGACGUAAGAUUGUGGCCACUGGGUGAAGAUGAGCCGGCCUUGCUGGUGUCACGUUGAACUCUUGGUUACAGUUCUUGCUCCCAGGCUGGGGUAGGGGCUUUUGUCAGCACCACGAAGGAUUGUUGAUAUGUCAGGUUGCUUCAGUUAGCCUCCAUUUCCUCUCUAUAUUUCCCUGGAUAAAAUGGAAGCUCUAGUUAUUCAAGACGGACCAUCGAGGUGUGGACUCCAGUUCAUCUGCUCCAGGCAAGACCCAGAGGGACCCCAGCGGGAUUACCCCAUUUCAUCCAAUCACGUGUUUUGCAUAGAUCACAAUCAAGUUAGUAAGCAAUAAAAAGUCAUCAAGGAAACAAAGGGUUGGGUAUUUAAAAUAUAAAGGCCAAACGAAACACCAUGGUGAAUAUUUGUAAAGAUCUAAUACGAAAUUAAAAAUAAAUACACACACACACACAUAUGGCUUAAACAGGAAUUUAUGUUCUCAUACUUUUGGAGCCUGUAAGUCCAAUCAUGAUUUGGGGUUGGCCACUUUUAAAAUUUCAAUUAAUUUUGUUGACACAUAUUAAUAAAGCAUACAAACCAUCCAGAGUAUACAAUCAAUGGUAAUUGGUAUAAUUACAUGUUGUGCAUUCACCACUUCAGCCAUUAUUAGAGCAUUUUCACUAUUCCAAUAAAAAUAACAAAUAAAAACCAGCCAAACAAAAAAUGUUCUACCUCUUAAUAAUGACCUCUGAAUUUCUCUAUGCUUCCCCUGCCGUAUAUGGCUGCUCUCAUUUCUGUCUUUUUAAAUUAUUUGUAUUUAUAUGUUAAAAUAAAUAAAUAAAUACACUUAUACAAAAACUGUGGCAUGAAGCUAAAGUAGUACUUCCUGGGAAUUCGUAACUCUAAAUGCUUAUAUCAUUGAAGAUCGAUUAAAUGGGC
rnacentral:lncRNA from 1 species